rnacentral:rRNA from 1 species
UACGUAGGGGGCAAGCGUUGUCCGGAUUUAUUGGGCGUAAAGAGCGUGUAGGCGGCCUGGUAGGUCAGCUGUGAAAACUCGAGGCUCAACCUCGAGACGUCGGUUGAAACCACCUGGCUAGAGUCCGGAAGAGGAGUGUGGAAUUCCCGGUGUAGCGGUGAAAUGCGCAGAUAUCGGGAAGAACACCCGUGGCGAAGGCGGCACUCUGGGACGGUACUGACGCUGAGACGCGAAAGCGUGGGGAGCGAACAGG